rnacentral:misc_RNA from 1 species
UAGCUCUUUAACAAUUUGGAAAGCUGGACAAAACAACAAUUUAUUGUUGUUUGUAAAGUUCUCAAUGUUUGUCUUUAUGACAAACACCAAAAUAACACAUUCAAGUGUUCUUGGAAUUUGAGUCCGGCAAAAUCGAGUCUGCAUCAUGUAUAAAAAUUGCAGACAACUUUGGUGACUUGUUCAUCAACUCGAAACUCCUUCGGGUUGUAU